rnacentral:rRNA from 1 species
CAGCAGCCACGGUAAUACAGAGGAUGCAAGCGUUAUCCGGAAUGAUUGGGCGUAAAGCGCGCGCAGGUGGUUUAAUAAGUCUGAUGUGAAAGCCCACGGCUCAACCGUGGAGGGUCAUUGGAAACUGUUAAACUUGAGUGCAGGAGAGAAAAGUGGAAUUCCUAGUGUAGCGGUGAAAUGCGUAGAGAUUAGGAGGAACACCAGUGGCGAAGGCGGCUUUUUGGCCUGUAACUGACACUGAGGCGCGAAAGCGUGGGGAGCAAACAGGAUUAGAUACCCCAGUAGUCCCUGUCUCUUAUAC